CAAUAGCGUAUAUUAAAGUUGUUGCAGUUAAAAAGCUCGUAGUUGGAUUUCUGGUCGGAAGCUCCUGUCCUCUGAUGAGCGUACAAGUGCGUCCUACCAUCCUUCUGUUAACCUUUAAGGCUUUCGCGGCUUUCUAGGGGCUCAGAUAUUUUACCUUGAGAAAAUUAGAGUGUUUCAGGCAGGCUAGCGCCGGAAUACAGUAGCAUGGAAUAAUGGAAUAGGACUUUUGCCUCUUCUGUUGGUCAUGAGGCUCGAGUAAUGAUUAAUAGGGAUAGUUGGGGGCAUUAGUACUUAACUGUCAGAGGUGAAAUUCUCGGAUUUGUUAAAGACUAACUUAUGCGAAAGCAUUUGCCAAGGAUGUUUUCAUUAA
rnacentral:rRNA from 1 species